UACGAAGGGGGCGAGCGUUAUUCGGAAUCACUGGGCGUAAAGCGUGCGUAGGCCGUCUAGCAAGUUGGAAGUGAAAGCCCAGGGCUCAACCCUGGAAUUGCUUUCAAAACUGCAAGACUAGAGCCCGGGAGAGGAUAGCGGAAUUUCCAGUGUAGUAGUGAAAUACGUAGAUAUUGGAAGGAACACCAGUGGCGCAAGCGGCUAUCUGGACCGGUACUGACGCUGAGGCACGAAAGCGUGGGGAUCAAACAGG
rnacentral:rRNA from 1 species